GGUCAGUGCACGGCCUGAGCUGCAGAGGCCAGGGCUGGAAAGAUGGCCCUGUGCUCUUGGGGCCAACUGAUGAGCUAGUAGGGAUUUAAGAACAUAGUUCAGUGAUUACCAGUAAAAGAACCAAAACCAGCUGGAUAACCUACUCACGCCAGCAGUGGUGAGGGUGUGAAGAUGGCAGUUUCCUCCUCACCCUUGGGGAGCCAUCAGUUAUUCUCCUUCCUGGACCAGGCCGUGAGCAGGACUUUCACACACACAAAGCACGGAAUUCAGUGAGCAUAGAAAAGAACUCAGACUCACUGAAAAUGGUUGCAGUUUUAUAGUUUUAAAACAGUAAAAUGAUGAGGUAACAUUUUUGUGCUUUUCAGUUUGUCAAAGGUUAAAACAUUGGAGAGUGAAUAGUGUAAGCAGUGGUGUGAAAGAGCCCCUUGUCUACCUUGACAGGGAUGUAAUUUGCAGAGUCCAGUGUGGAGAAGAUUCUGGCUAACACCUCUGAAAUAAAAAAUGUACAAUAUUUCACUUUUUGUGCCAAGGUAGCUCUGAAUGUGCUGAUUCAAAAAAAAUUUAAGGUGUUUUGAUUGUAAAGAAUAACAUGGCAGGUAUAGAAAAGGCAUGAACAUUUCACUCCUACCUGUGUAGAAAAUUCCUGGAUGGACCACCAGGGAAUGUUAAUAGUGACAGCUCUACCUCUACCUCUACCUCUACCUCUACCUCUACCUCUACCUCUACCUCUACCUCUACCGCUACCUCUACCGCUACCGCUACCCCUACCUCCUACCUCCUACCUCCUACCUCCUACCUCCUACCUCCUACCUCCUACCUCUACCCUCUUUCCACUGUCUCCCUCUGAUGCCGAGCCGAAGCUGGACUGUACUGCUGCCAUCUCGGCUCACUGCAACCUCCCUGCCUGAUUCUCCUGCCUCAGCCUGCCGAGUGCCUGCAAUUGCAGGCGCGCGCCGCCACGCCUGACUGGUUUUCGUAUUUUUUGGGUGGAGACGGGGUUUCGCUGUGUUGGCCAGGCUGGUCUCCAGCUCCUGACCGCGAGUGAUCCGCCAGCCUCGGCCUCCCGAGGUGCCGGGAUUGCAGACGGAGUCUCCUUCACUCAGUGCUCAAUGGUGCCCGGGCUGGAGUGCAGUGGCGUGAUCUCGGCUCGCUACAACAUCCACCUCCCAGCAGCCUGCCUUGGCCUCCCAAAGUGCCGAGAUUGCAGCCUCUGCCCGGCCGCCACCCCGUCUGGGAAGUGAUGAGUGUCUCUGCCUGGCCGCCCAUCGUCUGGGAUGUGAGGAGCCCCUCUGCCUGGCUGCCCAGUCUGGAAAGUGAGGAGCGUCUCUGCCCGGCCGCCAUCCCAUCUAGGAAGUGAGGAGCGUCUCUGCCCGGCCGCCCAUCAUCUGAGAUGUGGGGAGCGCCUCUGCCCUGUCGCCCCGUCCGGGAUGUGAGGAGCAUCUCUGCCCGGCCGCCCCGUCUGAAAAGUGAGGAGACCCUCUGCCUGGCAACCGCCCUGUCUGAGAAGUGAGGAUCCCCUCCGCCCAGCAGCCGCCCCGUCUGAGAAGUGAGGAGCCCCUCCGCCCGGCAGCCACCCCGUCUGGGAAGUGAGGAGCAUCUCCGCCCGGCAGCCACCCCGUCCAGGAGGGAGAUGUGGGGGUCAGCCCCCCGCCCGGCCAGCCGCCCCGUCCGGGAGGGAGGGGGGGGGGUCAGCCCCCCGCCCGGCCAGCCGCCCCAUCCGGGAGGUGAGGGGCGCCUCUGCCCGGCCGCCCCUACUGGGAAGUGAGGAGCCCCUCUGCCCGGCCACCACCCCGUCUGGGAGGUGUACCCAACAGCUCAUUGAGAAUGGGCCAUGAUGACAGUGGUGGUUUUGUGGAAUAGAAAAGGGGGAAAGGUGGGGAAAAGAUUGAGAAAUCGGAUGGUUGCCGUGUCUGUGUAGAAAGAGGUAGACAUGGGAGACUUUUCAUUUUGUUCUGUACUAGAAAAAUUCUUCUGCCUUGGGAUCCUGUUGAUCUGUGACCUUACCCCCAACCCUGUGCUCUCUGAAACAUGUGCUGUGUCCACUCAGGGUUAAAUGGAUUAAGGGCGGUGCAAGAUGUGCUUUGUUAAACAGACGCUUGAAGGCAGCAUGCUCGUUAAGAGUCAUCACCACUCCCUAAUCUCAAGUACCCAGGGACACAAACACUGCGGAAGGCCGCAGGGUCCUCUGCCUAGGAAAACCAGAGACCUUUGUUCACUUGUUUAUCUGCUGACCUUCCCUCCACUAUUGUCCUGUGACCCUGCCAAAUCCCCCUCUGCGAGAAACACCCAAGAAUGAUCAAUA
rnacentral:lncRNA from 1 species